GAGCGCCCUGCGAAACGCAGCUCUCCUCCUCCUCCUCCUCCUCUCUUUCUCCUCUUUUCCUCCCUGUGUGAUGGAGCCAGGAGUUUAAAGGAAAGGUGUAAACUUUUAAAAAGCGACGGGUUUCUAAAUAUUCCUGCUGCUGGGGGUUAUGUAAUCGCUGAGCGUUCCCAACGCUCCGGAGUCACGGGAGAAACACACCAACGCAGAUAUUCUGUCAUUUUCCUCCUUAAAUGUUGCUGUUUGAUGCUCGUGCUGCUUGAGCAAGAAAAAAACAAUCCCAGGUGUGUGUGUGUGUGUGUUCCCGUUGGCCGCUCACAGCUGGAUGUGACAGGCAACACCUGGCGGGGGCCAAACUCUCAAACAACUUCACGCUGCUCGGAUCAAGUUUCGCACCAGGAAAAGGCGAAGAGCCUCUUCUUCUCUUCUUUUUCGUCUUUUUCUUUUCGAGCAACAAAACAAACGAGACAGCAGCCCGGAAAACGGAGCCCUUCAUGGGAACCUCCAGCAGCCCGCAGCGGACUCCCGCUCCACCCGGAGCCGCCGCGGACGCCUCCAACCCCGGACACAACAUCCACAGCUCCGGCUCCCCUCCACCCCACACCCCACGGACAACACACGCUCUCCCCGGGAUCUGCUUACCGUUUUUCCGCCUCGGAUUGGCUUGUUUUCGCCUCUUACACCUGGGGCCAUCCGCCAUGAUCUCCUGCUUCAUUGAUAGAGGAGGAAGAAGGAGAAGCCCCCUGAAACGCACGCCACCUAUCUUCACGGGAGGGGAUAAUUGAGGAGAGUCAAACGUGAGCAUCUUCUGGGUUGAAGUUGUUGUUUUUUUCCCUUUCUCUCUCUCUCUCUCUCUCCCUCCUUUCUCUCUCUCUCUCUCUUUCUCCUCCUCUCCUUCUUUCUUGUUUUCUCGGCUUCAGCAGAAGAAACGCGGCUCUUUAUUUUUGCAGAAUCAGACGGGAAGCGGCUGGACUCGCGUAAGGAUCUUUUUUUUUAUUAUUACAAAUAUGCAUUCUGUAUAUUUGAAUUUAUUUAAUGUUUAUUGACGUAUCAGCGCACCUGCGUUGCGUCACCUGGUUGCCAGGUGCGUCUAGGUGCGCCUCCAGGUAUUUCACCGCAUGCAGAAAUUCAACCAGAAUCUGUGGAAACUUUAUUGAUUUCUUGACGCAAUUAAUGCGGAGGAAUUUGAGAAACUGUGUAAAAAGUGGGUGAAAUGUGGAAAUGGAGCGUGUUGGUGCUGGUGUGAGUGAACAACGCGCAGAGCGGAGCGGCGCAGCUCGCGCGCAGGCUCCACCUUUGCGGCGUCCUGAUUGGUUAUGUAAAUAAAGCCUUAUUGUGUCCCGUCCUCCUGCAGCUCGCCACUGGAUGGCUAAUUAAAUCAUCAAUCAAAAGGGGGAACCAAGCAGAUCGACGCCUCGCAACCCUGAAAACUAAAAAAAGAGAGAAUUUAUUCCGAUUUAACUUUUUUAAAAUAUUUUACAAUUCAGAGGAAAUGUGUCUCCAAAAGGAGGGGUAAUAAAGAAGCUUCAUUUAUUUUAUUUUAUUGAUUUAUUAAAUUAAUUCAUGAAUUAGUUUCAAUGUCUUUCUUUUUUCUUUGUCUGUAGGUGUGAGCAGAGGCUCAAAUAAGGGGAGGGGGCGACGGGGCAGCAGUGGCCACCUUCUGCCCCCCAACCAGAAAUAAAUAAUAUUUGGAUUUAAAAGAAGAAAAUCAAUUCUGUAACUUUUAUGUAUUUAUUUUGUCUUUUAGAGGAGUGGUGUCACUGAAAUUGACUUCUUUUUUAUUUAUUUUUAAAAAGGCAAAGAUGAGAUGUGACAUUCAUUUAUUUAUUUAUUAGUAUUUAUAAUUUAUGUUUUGUUUUUUUUUGUCAUUCAGAACGAUUAGCAAGCUGCAACAUUUAUUUAUUUACUUGGAUGUGUUUUUUUUCCUGCUGCGGUUUGAUUUCACCAAACUAAAAAUCCCCUGAAUGCAUCAUUUGAAUAUUUCCUCUGCAGACUCAGAAGGACUUGAAUCCUCAGUGAGUUUUGGGUAAGUUUGGAUUUUAUUUGAAAUGUUCUUCUUUUUCCUUUUGAAAUGUUUUCAUCCAAAACAAAGAGGAUGAAGAGGAGGAGCUGGAUGCAGUCCUGGCUGAAUUAUCGUCAUGCGUAAUUUACUGCCACGGAGCGCGCAUGUAAACCAAGCACACACACACACACACACGCACACGCAC